CAACAUGCCACACCUUGCAGCACGUGUCUACUGAAAAAGCAAGACACUCUCGCAACAGCAGUUUAAACUAGUUAUAAAGUGCACCUCGUUUUACAAUAAAGAUCAAUGUUAUGAACACAGAUGACUAUUGCCUGCAGCGUAUUUCCAAAAGAGCUGGUUUAUCUGAACAUGCCUAAGCAUAUGCGGACUAUCUUAUUAAAUGUGAAGGAGAUAUUUCAUUUGCAAGAUUUAUCAAAUACUGAGAAGGUGAAGGCAAUUCGCUUGCCAGACCAUGAGAUAGUUUGGAGAACUCCCAAACAUUCACCCUGUGCCAAGUCUGUGUGCAGCCAGAUAAUGAAAGGCAAUCUAUUAGAUGUCAGGUAAGUGGGUUUGUGGUUUCCAUUAAAUAAAAUUUAGGCUAUGUAUUUAAUACAUUCUUGUUUAUCAUUGCACCGGAGAGUGGCAAAGUGUUUUUUAUUUGUUGGACAUGAAAAUAAGAAUUGCACUGUAGUUACUAUUGCAACAACCACUACCACUUUUAAUAUAGAGAACUCGUUUUUUUCUUAUAGUGUUUACCUUAAUAAGACAAUGCUAUCCAGUUUGAAAAAAAUGUUGAAAUUAAAAAGAUAAAAAAGAUAAUGUUAUAAAAUGUUAUAAAAAUCAUACCAUUUGAAUGAACUGUUGAAAUGAUACAUGUAAAGGAAUGUUAUCUCAUGGCUCCUGUAUCCUAUAUUUAAAUCUUCCUCCACAUCUUUGUAUAUUUCUUCUGGGUAGUUCAAUUUUCAAGGUGAAGUUUUAUUGUCCACACCCAUUCCAAAAAUGCAAAAUUUUGGAUGAUUGGCAACUCUGAGUUGCCCCUGUGUGAACAUGAGUAGGAAUAAAUAUAUGAUGGACUGGCAAACUGUUCAGAGGAUUUUCAGCUUUAUACUCAGUUCUGCCAGGAUAGAUUCCAAACACUGAAGAUCCUGAAUUGUAUUAAGCAGAUUUGAAAAUCUUAUUUUAUGUUUUAUAAAUAUAAUGAUAUAAUUAAG